rnacentral:tRNA from 1 species
GGUGCCAUAGCUCAGUUGGUAGAGCAAAGGACUGAAAAUCCUUGUGUCCCCGGUUCAAUUCCUGGUGGCACCAC